AACAGUUGCAAGAAGAAGCUGCUGGCCAGGCUGAAGCCCUUGGUUUAGAUCUAGAAAAAGCUACAAAGCAGCUUGAGGAUGCCAACAAACAGGCAAAGGAACAAGUUGAGGCAUUUCAUUCUGCUUGCGAGGAAGCUGCAUCCUUGAAAUUCAGGUUAGAGGAAGCCAUUUCUGAGCAGCAAAAACUCAAGGAUGUGAAUGCAGCUUUAACGAGCGCUUGCCAGUUGCUUCAGGAAAAGAUGGAAGAGCAAAAAACAACCGUUAAUGCACUGAGGAAAGAACUGCUUAAAGGGCGACUCUCCAGAUUGCAAUGUCAGGUAUGAAGUUUGUCUGGUGGGAGAAGAAAACAGUCUUGCACAGGAGGUGCUGUGGUGGAAGGGCACUUUUAGUUUGGAUGAGCUACAAGCAAUUCUGUAGCAUCUGUUUUCUUCUUUUCUAACAUGUAUAUUACCAUGGAGGCAAAGUGAACUGUAUAUGCUGAUCUGYACAUAACUAUCUUCCUUCUUCUGUCUUCUGCAAAAAACAGACUGGAGCUUACAGCCGAAGCUGUGGUGUCGGUCUUCACUGUAAACAAUUGCUCGUGAUUGUAUUAACUGGAAGCGAGGGAAGCUUUCUCUGAUGCAUUGGUUUGAUUUGUCCCCCAUAAUCAGCCUUCCCUUCUGCAGAUAGUCUUGAAAAUAACAAUGAAACACUUUGUAAUAAAAUAUUUCUAAUAUCUAGGCA
rnacentral:lncRNA from 1 species